rnacentral:rRNA from 1 species
AAACGCUUGAAGUCAGUCGCGUUUGCUUGGACUCAGCCUUACUUCGGUUCGGUGCAUUUCCUUGCGGACGGGCCAGCGUCCAUGCUGUUUGCCGGAAAAGGGGGAAGAGAAUGUGGCUCCUUUGGGAGUGUUAUAGCUCUUGCUCGUAUACGGGGAGCGAUAUGGAGUGGUACAGCACGCUUUCGGGUGGUGCUUGUGCUGGCAUAAUGGCUUUAAACGA